rnacentral:rRNA from 1 species
AUUGAACGCUGGCGGCAUGCCUUACACAUGCAAGUCGAACGGCAGCAGGGGAGCAAUCCUGGUGGCGAGUGGCGAACGGGUGAGUAAUAUAUCGGAAUGUGCCCAGUCGUGGGGGAUAACGCAGCGAAAGCUGUGCUAAUACCGCAUACGAUCUACGGAUGAAAGCGGGGGACCGCAAGACCUUGCGCGAUUGGAUCGGCCGAGAUCGGAUUAGCAAGCUGGUGGGGUAAAGGCCCACCAAGGCGACGAUCUGUAGCUGGUCUGGGAGGACGACCAGCCACACUGGAACUGAGACACGGUCCAGACUCCUACGGGAGGCAGCAGUGGGGAAUGUUGGACAAUGGGCGCAAGCCUGAUCCAGCAAUGCCGCGUGCAGGAUGAAGGCCUUCGGGUUGUAAACUGCUUUUAGACGGAACGAAACGGCCCUUGCUAAUACAGGGGUGUAAUGACGGUACCGUAAGAAUAAGCACCGGCUAACUACGUGCCAGCCGCCGCAGUAACAC